rnacentral:rRNA from 1 species
UUGCUGGGGAUUGAUUCAUUUGAGGUGACUGAGUGGCGGACGGGUGAGUAACGCGUGGGUAACCUGCCUUAUACAGGGGGAUAACAGUUGGAAACGACUGCUAAUACCGCAUAAGCGCACAGUACCGCAUGGUACGGUGUGAAAAACUCCGGUGGUAUAAGAUGGACCCGCGUCUGAUUAGCUAGUUGGUGAGGUAACGGCUUACCAAGGCAACGAUCAGUAGCCGACUUGAGAGAGUGAUCGGCCACAUUGGGACUGAGACACGGCCCAAACUCC